GGCUCGAUUUUGGUGGCCUUGUGAUUAGAGCGUCCGCCUCAGAUACGGGAUGUCGCGGGUUCGAACCCCUGUUGAGUCG